rnacentral:rRNA from 1 species
AGAGUUUGAUCAUGGCUCAGAACGAACGCUGGCGGCAGGCCUAACACAUGCAAGUCGAGCGCCCGCAAGGGAGCGGCAGACGGGUGAGUAACGCGUGGGAACGUGCCCUUUGGUUCGGAAUAUUCCCGGGAAACUGGGAGCAAAACCGGAUAAGCCCUUCGGGGGAAAGUUUACGCCAAAGGAUCGGCCCGCGUUAGAUUAGGUAGUUGGUGGGGUAACGGCCUACCAAGCCUACGAUCUAUAGCUGAUCUGAGAGGAUGAUCAGCCACACUGGGACUGAGACACGGCCCAGACUCCUACGGGAGGCAGCAGUGGGGAAUCUUGGACAAUGGGCGCAAGCCUGAUCCAGCCAUGCCGCGUGGAUGACUGAAGGCCCUAGGGUUGUAAAGUCCUUUCGACGGGGACGAUAAUGACGGUACCCGUAGAAGAAGCCCCGGCUAACUUCGUGCCAGCAGCCGCGGUAAUACGAAGGGGGCUAGCGUUGUUCGGAUUUACUGGGCGUAAAGGGCGCGUAGGCGGGUUUUUAAGUCGGGGGUGAAAUCCCGGAGCUCAACUCCGGAACUGCCUUCGAUACUGGAAGUCUGGAGCACGGUAGAGGUGAGUGGAAUUCCGAGUGUAGAGGUGAAAUUCGUAGAUAUUCGGAGGAACACCAGUGGCGAAGGCGGCUCACUGGACCGUUGCUGACGCUGAGGCGCGAAAGCGUGGGGAGCAAACAGGAUUAGAUACCCCGGUAGU